rnacentral:rRNA from 1 species
CCUACGGGGGGCUGCAGUGGGGAAUAUUGCACAAUGGGCGCAAGCCUGAUGCAGCCAUGCCGCGUGUGUGAAGAAGGCCUUCGGGUUGUAAAGCACUUUCAGCGGGGAGGAAGGCGGUGAGGUUAAUAACCUCAUCGAUUGACGUUACCCGCAGAAGAAGCACCGGCUAACUCCGUGCCAGCAGCCGCGGUAAUACGGAGGGUGCAAGCGUUAAUCGGAAUUACUGGGCGUAAAGCGCACGCAGGCGGUCUGUCAAGUCGGAUGUGAAAUCCCCGGGCUCAACCUGGGAACUGCAUUCGAAACUGGCAGGCUAGAGUCUUGUAGGGGGGGGUAGAAUUCCAGGUGUAGCGGUGAAAUGCGUAGAGAUCUGGAGGAAUACCGGUGGCGAGGGCGGCCCCCUGGACAAAGACUGCCGCUCAGGUGCGAAAGCGUGGGGAGCAAACAGGAUAAGAUACCCUAUAGUC